ACAUGCCUACGACAUAACUAUAAUGUAUUGGAUUCCAUUAGAACUCCACAGUUAAGCAUGCUCAUGCUAGAGUAGAAUUGCGAUGGGUGACUUCCCGAGAAGUCCUAGUGUUUUACAUGCU
rnacentral:rRNA from 1 species